rnacentral:rRNA from 1 species
AGUGAACGCUGGCGGUAGGCCUAACACAUGCAAGUCGAACGGCAACACAGUAAGAGCUUGCUCUUACGGGUGGCGGAUGGCGGACGGGUGAGGAAUACAUCGGACUCUACUUUUUCGUGGGGGAUAACGUAGGGAAACUUAAGCUAAUACAGCAUACGACCUACGGGUGAAAGCAGGGGAUCGUCGGACCUUGCGGGGUUGGAUGAGCGGCUGUCGGGUUAGCUGGUUGGGUGGGUAAAGGCCCACCAAGGCGACGAUCCGUAGCUGGUCUGAGAGGAUGAUAAGCGACAUUGGAACUGAGCCAGGGACAAGACUACUACGGGAGGCAGCAGAGGGGAAUAUGGGACAGCGGUGGGAAGCCUUAUCCAGCCAGAGCGAGUGUGUGAAGAAGGCGUUGCGUUUGUAAAGCCCUUUUUUUGGGAAAGAAAAGCAGCAGGCUAAUACCCCGCGGUUCUGACGGUACCCAAUGAAUAAGCACCGGCUAACUUCGUG